ensembl:lncRNA
UCACAGAAUUCCUGCCAGCUGCCUUGUCUCCAGGUAACUGAAACACCAGGAUUUGGGGAGCCCCGUAAAGGGCAGCAAAGCAUGUAGUGUUAUCCUUCCCGCCCACAGAAGCAGGCAGCAGGGUAGUGUCCACCUGGGAGGCUUUCAGGGAGGCACUGGUGUUGGGUACAGAAAGCUGGGGUUAGGUGAGAGACGGAAUAAAAGCCGAUAAACCAAGACCAAGCUCAGAACGACUGAUGCUGCCAGACGGAACUGACACUGUCUCCACAUCUUUGCACUUCCCAGAAAGAGUGAAUGAAGUGCCAGCCCAGUCAGGGCUCUCUUGUCCUCUUCUGGCUGUGGCUCUGGGAAAGCAGGCUGCAACGUCAGUCACAAAGCUCUGGCAGCAGAGAGGUUUGGGGAGUGGAGAGAAGAGUGAGAAAAGAGAGAAGGGACACAAUGAGACGUGGCCAGGCAGGCAGAGCCUUGUUUAUAGGAGCACAGGAACAUUUUAAGGAUCACAAGUUGAGUUUGAGGACAACCAAGAAAAGACCCCUUGAUUUCCAAAAGUUACUUUUCAAGUUUUCAAGUGAUUCCAGAGGGGGAAGGUUCACCUUGAAGAUGAGUGGGAAGUCAAGUCUUUUCAACUCUUUUCCAAAAGGACCACAUGACAACUCUUAUGUAUACACCUCCCUCCAGAGACACCAGUGAACAGAUGUUGCUGAGAAAAAGCCAGCAGGGCUGGAACAAAGUGUGAAAAAAGGAGCUGAUCUGGGGGCAAAGAAUCGCCCUUGGCGUCAUGGAUCACUGCUUUUCCUCAAAUUAGAAAAACGAGGCCUGAGCUGAGUGCAACUGUGAGCUUGUUCCUACAGCUAGCAGAAAGCAAGGAAGGCAAGUGCCUGGGGCCAGGCCCCCAUCUGCCAGCUCCAUGCAGGUUCCUAGGAACCAACAAAGGCACUUUCUUGCUCCUUCAAUACUCUGCCUCAGAAGGCUCCAUACAGAAGCGAGGUACCUUCUGCC